UAGGGAAUCUUCCACAAUGGACGCAAGUCUGAUGGAGCAACGCCGCGUGAGUGAAGAAGGUUUUCGGAUCGUAAAGCUCUGUUGUUGGUGAAGAAGGAUAGAGGUAGUAACUGGCCUUUAUUUGACGGUAAUCAACCAGAAAGUCACGGCUAACUACGUGCCAGCAGCCGCGGUAAUACGUAGGUGGCAAGCGUUGUCCGGAUUUAUUGGGCGUAAAGCGUGCGCAGGCGGAAGAAUAAGUCUGAUGUGAAAGCCCUCGGCUUAACCGAGGAACUGCAUCGGGAACUGUUUUUCUUGAGUACAGAAGAGGAGAGUGGAAUUCCAUGUGUAGCGGUGGAAUGCGUAGAUAUAUGGAAGAACACCAGUGGCGAAGGCGACUCUCUGGUCUGCAACUGACGCUGAGGCUCGAAAGCAUGGGUAGCGAACAGG
rnacentral:rRNA from 1 species